rnacentral:misc_RNA from 1 species
UAUCAAUGCAGCAUAUCAAAAUUUUUUUUGUUACAUCAAUUAUAAUUAAAUGAAUAAAAAAAAUCAUUGAUUAAGAGAUUGAAAAUUGAAAUGGAGAUAUUUAUCAUUAAUUAACAAUGAAAAGAGAUAUAGAAAUGGAAUAUAAAUAAUAAAAUGAAUUUACUAGUAUUAUAUAUGAGCAAUAAUGCAAUGCAGCCACAUCACCAGCUCUAUCUCUUACCAUUAAAAUUCUCUUUAUUCUCACAAUUGUCAAUUCCCACAACUGUGUCCCACCCAUUUGAACAUAUCUCUAAAUAAAUUUCCUUUUUUUUUUAAUUUUUCUAAUUAAACACAACCAAAUUUACUAGUCACAAAUCACACAAAUAACCUCUUAUCCAUCCUUUAAAAGU